UCACUCAAAGAUGAUCCCGCGUUGUAUUAGCUAGUUGGUGAGGUAAAGGCUCACCAAGGCGAUGAUACAUAGCCGACCUGAGAGGGUGAUCGGCCACAUUGGGACUGAGACACGGCCCAAACUCCUACGGGAGGCAGCAGUAGGGAAUCUUCGGCAAUGGACGAAAGUCUGACCGAGCAACGCCGCGUGAGUGAAGAAGGUUUUCGGAUCGUAAAACUCUGUUGGUAGAGAAGAACGUUGGUGAGAGUGGAAAGCUCACCAAGUGACGGUAACUACCCAGAAAGGGACGGCUAACUACGUGCCAGCAACCGCGGUAAUACGUAGGUCCCGAGCGUUGUCCGGAUUUAUUGGGCGUAAAGCGAGCGCAGGUGGUUUAUUAAGUCUGGUGUAAAAGGCAGUGGCUCAACCAUUGUAUGCAUUGGAAACUGGUAGACUUGAGUGCAGGAGAGGAGAGUGGAAUUCCAUGUGUAGCGGUGAAAUGCGUAGAUAU
rnacentral:rRNA from 1 species